ensembl:lncRNA
GUUGGAUGGGGCUCUGGGUAGCCUAAUUUUGUUUGAGUGGCAUCCUUGUCCAUGGCAAGGGACUGGAGCUAGAUGAUCCUUCAGGUCUUUCCAAUCUAAGCCAUUCUAUGAUUCUGUGAUACUGUGUUUCUUUGAUAAGUUGACCAUGAAGCUUGUCAUUAAUGUUGACUAUAAAGUAACAAAGAUGGAGACACCUCUAGACUGGUUACCUGGAACUGUAAUAAAGCACACUGACUUGUUCUUACAGAAUUGGAGAGGCAGAAGGGAUGACACAGCUAUCUCACACCGGUAUGCAUAGUCACGGCUUAGGGAGGCACAAAGCAAAGUCUGUGACUGGAGGUGCCACAGUUCUCAAAGAGUACACUGCCUUCGGCUGAGAGGGGCAUUAAUACAGAGGACUGACUCCAUCCUCUGCUCGCCAUCAUCCUUCCCAGGUGCAUUCAUCAAGAGAGAAAGAUGGGAGAGGAAGCUUACCUUUCUGGUUAAGACAGAGAGAAUAACCGCAUUUUUCUUGUGCAGUGACAGAGAGCUGGAAGAAGGGGUUGUUCCUCUACUACAUUUUCAUCCAUUAAAAAAAAAGAAAAAAGAAAAAAGAAAAAAAAUAGGAAUGGACUGGAAAACCUUAAGAGAAAAAGAAAAAGAAAAAAAACCACAGGAAUCACUGCUUCCAUUCAGGCAAAAAAAAAAGGGGGGGGGAUCAUUACAAACAUCCCUAGCAGACAUGUUACACUGCUCAACACCAGUUUUCUUACCAUAUGAAACCAUCUAACACAGUUUAGUGAAGACCCAGGAAAAGAUGAAAUACUAAGUGGGAUGAGCUCUCCCCUGCUUUUAAAAAAUCAAACUAAACAUGAAGAAAGAUAUCAAACUGUUCACAACUCUGCAUUCCACAAGCUUAAACGAUAAAUGUAUUCAACCAAGUCAGUCUUUGAAACUUUUCAUUUAGCUCUGUGAAGAUAAAGAACAGAUCAGCAUUUUCAUUAAAAAAAAAUGUCAUGGCUCAUUCCUUUCUGUUAUUGAAGAGAAUGCAGCAACAUCUUUCAAAACCC